ACCCCAGGAAACUCAAGGCCUUCAACACUGGCUGAGGCACAAACAGGUCUUUCCAUGCAGACACAUCAGCUCUGUGAUCAGUUGAGGUGUAGGACACGACACUUGCCCUUAGUGAAGCUCAUCGGAAUUGAGAACAACCGCAGCGUGCGCCCCACGAGAGCUACGUGACAAAUCACCAGUACUGAGCGCCCUAAAUCCCGUUUCACAUUACAUCUGCGUGGAAAUUAGCCCUCUGGCAGCGCCGCGGGUGGCCCAGCGGACGGGCAGACAGAGCCCAGCGGAGCGCUCUCGGGGCCCGGGGAAGAGACGUAGCCCUGCUCGGAAACCCACCAUGACGCACCGGCACCAAUUCGCGCACGCCGCCAGGCGCUACA